rnacentral:lncRNA from 1 species
UACUAAGUGUCAAUGGAAAAGAAAAUGUAUUCAAAAUACAUAAAUCAAAACUAGAAGAUGGAAAAAAAGAUUUAUUCUAUACAAAGCCUUGUCUGGACCACUCUAGAGAGACUUCUAUUUUUUUAAACCCUCUAUAAAUAUUUGAUGGCACUAGAAAUAUUCCUGCAAUAAAAUGUGAUUUGUGUAAAGAAAAAAAAAAGAUUUUGUAAUGUGAAACAAAGAAAGAAAGUAAUGUAAUUUUCUAAAAAAAAAAAUACAAACAAACAAACUUUGUAUUAUUUUCUUGAUGGAAUUUGCCUAUCUGUCUUUGGAAAACUUUUUAUUUCAUUGAAUGUGCCAUAGUAGAUGUACAUGCUUUUUGUUUUAGACUAAGGGAUGGCUGUUUGUGUUCCGACAUUCCAAAAUGCAAAGCAACUUAGCAGAAGCCUUGAUGAGGAGGUUUCGGUAGGAUGCAAGCGUCUCUCCUUGUUGCUUUUUUUGCACAAGUCUUUUUAAUUCUUACCUAGUGCAAUAUCUGUACAUAGAGCACUUGCGGGUGUACUUUGAUCCCUCAGGGAAAAACACAUAUUUGUACAGUUGUUGGGUUUGUUUUGGUUUUCUUGUUUGUUGUUUGAUUUAUUUUCCUUUUUCGUUCUUUGGCUAUGGAAUGUCGAUCGAAUCACUUGUUAUUGUUGAGAGGCAGCCAGAUAAUCAGCCUAAAGCCACUGUUUCAAACACCGAUUGUUUGAGUCAUGUCUUUCCAGUACUAUUAUUUUAAAAUGAUAUUAAUAAUAAUAAUAAUAAUAAAAAGCUAUUUUCUGACAGUUCUUUGUGCUGACUGGUAGAAAAAAUGGUAAAAAAAUAAUAAUAGUAAUAAGCACCUUAUGGUUGACUUACUGUGAACGACAAUCCAUCUUGGUGUCAAGGACAGAGCCCUGUUAUCUGGAGUUGGGGCUGAGAGUCAGAAACACUGUGCUCAGGGAACUUCUAAAACUCUUAAAACAGGGUGGCCAGUGGACUGGGACAAAUUGUGGUUUUACUAUUAAAAACAAUGAUGGUAACAGUAUCCCUCCAAAGGCACAAGCGAACUGUAGAGAAGUGUCUGUCUGUCUGUCUGUGUGAAUUCUUCACCGUCUCAUCUUGUUGAGUUCGAAAUUCUUGUGUUUCAAAACACAUUAACUCCUGAGGCAGUGUGAAUGGAAGAUGAAUCCGGAAGUGACAUCCCAGUAGGGGAACACAGUGCAGCCCAUCUGCUGGCUUCCUAAGAAAUUAAGAUGCUCCUGUGAAACACACCUUUCAACAAUUUCAGAUUCUCUGUAGUAGGAAUUUAGAUGUUUUUUAAACCAGCAGGAAGACCUAUCAGUGAAAUGGCCCCCAACAAAGUCCUUCUGAACUAGAAAACAAAGGGGUUUUUCACUGUAUUCUCCUCCAGGGGCAAACCACAAUCCUGUUAUGCAAAACAAUUCCUAUUCCCCAUCCCUAGCUUUUUUGAUUUGGGGGAGGGGGAGUGUUUGUUUGUUUUCCUGGAAGAGUUGCCCUUGAAAGACUAAUUGGUCCCUGCAUGACAGACCAUCGCUUUAGUUUAAGGGAUCCAUGCUCUGAGCUGCAGUUCAGUUCACAAGGUCCCACGCACCACUUUCCAUAAGGCCAGAGAAGCUUAGAGUAGCUCAUGGUUCUGAGUCUCCCGCCCCAUAAAACACACUUGGCAGAAUUACAGAGCUUCUUAUUACAGUAGGAGAGCACAAAGUAUGAGAAGUCUGUCCAUUAGGUGACAGUUGAUACUUCACACGUAUUUGGAGUGUAGGUGACAGAAAUCUCCCCCCCCCCCCUUUACCUCUCCAUACAUACAUACACAUGCACAUGUGACAGACAUUCUUACAUACCAUCACAGGGCCACUGCUUACUCAAAGUUGUGAUGCAGAACCCCACAACAGCAGCCUUUUACUGCGGAUCAGAUAUGUGCCCAAAAAAUGCAGUUGCAACAGUCAAAUACUGGUCGACUGUUGCUCUCUGUCAUGCUGGUCUUCAUUCGAUUCCUUAAACACUAAUGCAUGAAAUGCUUCCACCAGCUUUGAUGAUAGCGACCUCCCCACUGCUGUUAAACUAAUGAGAAGGCCAGCUGUCAAUGUCUUCAAAAGCGAUCGUGUGUGUGUGUGUGUGUGUGUGUGUGUGUGUGUGUGCGCGCGUGUGUGCGUGUGUGUGUGUGUGUGCGCGCGCGUGCUCGUGCGCGCACAUCUAUGCAUGCUUGUAUGUGAUCAGUUUGUCAGACUCUCAAAAUAUUUUUUUUAAAACAAACAGGAAAACUGGCUUCAUAUCAGGAAGCCAUCAUGAAUGGGGGCAGAGCAUGCUCGGCCAUACCCCAGAACUUAGAGCAAUAAACACUAUUCAGUCCCUUAUUUACUUGUAAAUGGGUGACAGAAUAUUUGAUCCAAAUAGAAACCACCUUUCCCAGGGUCUAGUGUGGAGAGUGGAGAUGAAUGUUUGGAAGAGAUCCAUGUUCUCUGUUUACAUCCUGUGUGUUCUGUUGCAUUAGCUGUCCUGUGCUUUUUCUUUGGUCUUCUAGAAGCUAAUGACAGACAGCUGGCUGUUAGCUUUAUGGGCUGUGCAUGUCAUUGUUCCCCCAGAACAACAGGCUUCUCUCCAGUGUUCACAUAUGAUCCCUUUCUCAUUCAUUGUGACUUGUGUGUAGGAGUAACUACUCCUAAGAAGAUGAUAAUCACUGAACACAUUGCAUAUGUAAAUGUAGAUACUUCUUGAGCAAUAUAGUGACUAUGACUUCACAUACACACACACACACACCAUCUGUAUGUACUGUACACAUCUUCCUGAAUCCCCAAUUCUCUGCUUAAUCAUAAUGGUUUGAAAUCUCAUCUACAACAGUGGUGGAUGUUUUAGACAGUAGGACAUUAGCUGGCUGCUUCUUUAAAUGUACCUGUAUUGUCUGCGUGCUCCUUUUGCGGAGACAAGUUUUUGUAUUGGAUGUUUGGGCCAAUGGGAGGCUUCAAGCUACAACAUAUUUUCCCAGUUUAAAUAUAUUGAACUUAUGACAAACCCCAGACAAGGCUUUUAAUCUGUAAAGAACUGCAGUGUUGGGUGGUUUAUUUACAAACCGUUUUCAAUGUUGUCCAUUUUUAUGGCACCUUUAACAAUAUACUUGUUUCCAAAGU